GACGAACGCUGGCGGUGUGCCUCACACAUGCAAGUCGAACGGGGGUAGCAAUACUCCAGUGGCGGACGGGUGAGUAACACGUGGGAAUCUGCCUUUAGAUGGGGGAUAGCAGACCGAAAGGUCUAUUAAUACCGCAUAUGCCGAAAGGUAAAAGGAGCAAUCCGUCUGAAGAUGAGCCCGCGCCCGAUUAGCUAGUUGGUAGGGUAAAAGCUUACCAAGGCAACGAUCGGUAGCUGGUCUGAGAGGAUGAUCAGCCACAAUGGGACUGAGACACGGC
rnacentral:rRNA from 1 species